rnacentral:rRNA from 1 species
AGCUUUGAUCCGUAGAUGUCCGAAUGGGGAAACCCACUCCUUUUGGAGUAUCCAUGGCUGAAUACAUAGGCCAUGCGAAGCGAACGCGGUGAACUGAAACAUCUAAGUAACCGCAGGAAAAGAAAUCAACCGAGAUUCCCAAAGUAGUGGCGAGCGAAAUGGGAUGAGCCUUGCACUCUUUAUUUGUAUUGUUAGCCGAACGCUCUGGAAAGUGCGGCCAUAGCAGGUGAUAGCCCUGUAGGCGAAAACAGUAUGAAAGAACUAGGUGUGCGACAAGUAGGGCGGGACACGUGAAAUCCUGUCUGAAGAUGGGGGGACCAUCCUCCAAGGCUAAAUACUCGUGAUCGACCGAUAGUGAACCAGUACCGUGAGGGAAAGGCGAAAAGAACCCCGGGAGGGGAGUGAAAUAGAUCCUGAAACCGCAUGCAUACAAACAGUCGGAGCCUCGUAAGGGGUGACGGCGUACCUUUUGUAUAAUGGGUCAGCGACUUACGUUCAGUAGCAAGCUUAACCGUAUAGGGCAGGCGUAGCGAAAGCGAGUCCGAAUAGGGCGUUCAGUUGCUGGGCGUAGACCCGAAACCAGGUGAUCUAUCCAUGGCCAGGAUGAAGGUGCGGUAACACGUACUGGAGGUCCGAACCCACUAACGUUGAAAAGUUAGGGGAUGAGCUGUGGAUAGGGGUGAAAGGCUAAACAAACCUGGAAAUAGCUGGUUCUCUCCGAAAACUAUUUAGGUAGUGCCUCGUGUCUCACCUUCGGGGGUAGAGCACUGUCAUGGUUGGGGGGUCUAUUGCAGAUUACCCCGCCAUAGCAAACUCCGAAUACCGAAGAGUGCAAUCACGGGAGACAGACAUCGGGUGCUAACGUCCGGUGUCAAGAGGGAAACAACCCAGACCGCCAGCUAAGGUCCCCAAAUAUAGCUAAGUGGGAAACGAAGUGGGAAGGCUAAAACAGUCAGGAGGUUGGCUUAGAAGCAGCCACCCUUUAAAGAAAGCGUAAUAGCUCACUGAUCGAGUCGUCCUGCGCGGAAGAUGUAACGGGGCUAAGCUAUAUACCGAAGCUGCGGAUGCGAGCUUGCUCGCAUGGUAGGAGAGCGUUCCGUAAGCCUGCGAAGGUGCCUUGUAAAGGGUGCUGGAGGUAUCGGAAGUGCGAAUGCUGACAUGAGUAGCGAUAA